rnacentral:misc_RNA from 1 species
AAUCAUCAAAACCUUUUCUUUGAUCAUUUUGGUCAAGAAUGGGAUUUUGGACUUGGAGGACCAAUGCUUGCUCUCACCUUUUGAAAGUGAGCUCCUCUCAAAUAAAUUAGUGGGGGUUUGCUUUGCCGAUCCUUGACGUGAUAAGUUGUUUCUACGUUUUGGAUUUGGUUGGACACCUGCUUCUAACCGUCCUAUGGACGACGAUGGUGUUUCGGUCACCCGGACCCAUUAGAAAACC